GUUGGGAUAGCUCAGUUGGUAGAGCAUGAGACUCUUAAUCUCAGCGUCAUGGGUUUGAGCCCCAUGUUGGGCAAGAUUCCUACA
rnacentral:tRNA from 1 species